ACUUUUUACCUCAUCUGCCAUUGGCUAGUGACCUCCAACAAUUUACAGGCCAAAAUUAUUUUUCACCAGCCAAAUAAAAAUAUGUGCCUUAUUUGACUUAAAAUAAUUAGCAUAGGUUUUUAUUAUGCAAAUCCAACUUAAGUAUCACUUAAAGAAUACAGUUAUGUACAGAUAAAAUUAGAUUAUCGCUAUUUUAUUAGGUUAUAUUUCAUUUCAAGGUGACUGCUGCAUCAUCAUGUCAUAGUCCAUGUCAA